rnacentral:rRNA from 1 species
AUUGAACGCUGGCGGAAUGCUUUACACAUGCAAGUCGAACGGUAGAGGGGGCAACCCCUUGAGGGUGGCGAACGGGUGAGUAAUAUAUCGGAACGUGCCCAGUCGUGGGGGAUAACGUAGCGAAAGUUACGCUAAUACCGCAUACGAUCUAAGGAUGAAAGCGGGGGAUCGCAAGACCUCGCGCGACUGGAGCGGCCGAUAUCAGAUUAGGUAGUUGGUAGGGUAAAGGCCUACCAAGCCAACGAUCUGUAGCUGGUCUGAGAGGACGACCAGCCACACUGGAACUGAGACACGGUCCAGACUCCUACGGGAGGCAGCAGUGGGGAAUUUUGGACAAUGGGCGAAAGCCUGAUCCAGCCAUUCCGCGUGCAGGAUGAAGGCCCUCGGGUUGUAAACUGCUUUUGUACAGAACGAAAAGGUUUCUAUUAAUACUAGGAGCUCAUGACGGUACUGUAAGAAUAAGCACCGGCUAACUACGUG